UCCCCUAAUUGUUUCCUUUUCCAAUAUGCUCGUCCCUGAUCCAGCGAUGCAGACAACCUGAUCGCUGUCGCCGGCCGCUAGUAAAUCAUCCACCGUCAAGAAAAGAAAGGGACAGGAAAGCGCCGUCGUGUCGAUCUAGAGGCGCAUUCCGGCCGGCCGCCGGCCGCCGGCCGCACAGAUGAGCGAUUAAACAGCCAAAAAAAGUAAUUUAUUUUCAGUGUUAGAUUGGUUUGCGUCUUAUAAUGCGUUUGUCAAACUGCAAACAUGGAAAACUAAUUAUAAUACUUUUGAUUCUCCAAGCUUUGCAUCUCCCAUCGAUCAUUGUGUUAGCCAGCAUAAAGGAAUUAGGGGAAACACCAUCACCGUUAGCGAUACCAUGGUACGUCCCCUAUCUUCAACUUCAAUCUCCAUUAGAAGGGUUGUACGCGCUAUGUUGCGUCGUUGAAUUUGUUAGGAUUCUUAUUUUUUGUUAACUUACUCUAUUUUAAAACAUAUGGUGUAUUAUUUUUUAGAAAAGUCAAACUUUUAAUGUUUGAUCAAAUUUGUAGAGAAAUGUCAAAAUUCAAAAUAUUAACUCGGUGUUAUUAGAUUCAUCAUGAAAUGAAUUUUCAUAUUUUUUGUUUAAUAUUUUGAAUGUUGAUAUUUUUGGCUCUGAACUUGGUAAAAAUUAAAGAAAUUUGACUUUUCAAAAAAUUAAUAACCCUUAUACUUUAAAACAAAUGGAAUAUUUAAUUUUGCCGGUGUGGGAGACAAUGGAGUCUGUUUUAUCUUUAUUUAUAAUGCAGUUAUUUGGUGGGUCUUUUUCGGUGUGAUUCUAUGUUAUCCGCUAAUCAACCCAUGUUUACGUGGGAAUAUUUUUUCAUCAUUGAUUGCAUAUACUAUAUUCGUGCAAUAGUAUCACAUGAUGACGUUUUUGUAUGGGUGAUAGGAGUCUAAAGGUUGAUGUGUUUUUAUAGGACUGUUGUUGUUGAUUGAUUUGGAAAAUCGUUGGCCCGAUCCAAUCGAAUGAAAAGCUUUAAAAUUACGAUGCACAGAGAAUUAAAAUAAUUAAAUAGGAAAGCUAUUUGAAAAAUUGUUGUCCAGGUCAAAAUCGGGUGGCCAAAGUCUAAAUUGAUGCCUCAAUUAAUUGUGAAGAUUUAAAAAUUAAGAAGUAUAGUGUAUUAUAUAAAAAUAUAAAUGAAAGGGUUUGAGAAAUUAUUGAUCCGGUCAAAAUCGGAUGACCAAAUUUUAAUUGAAGACCUCAAUUGAUUGUGAGGCUUCCAGUCCUAGGGAGAUUAGUCAUAUAUAUUAUAUUUUCUUGUCUACAUGCAUGAUGGUUGACUGGUUGACAUGAAAAUUGGAUUGGAAUCAAUUAGUUAUAGUACCGUGUACCAAAAUUUGAAACAUAAAUUUAUAAAUUUGAAUCUUUUUUUAAGAUAGCCGUCAUGUUGACCGUGGAAAAGCAUGCGCACACAAUGACUGAUUAGUAGUGACUUGGCAAUCAGCUUGAGAUUGUAUAUACAUAGGCGCUUUGAUUUUGUCAGGGAGGACUGUGAGUACAUGCACGUGCUUGUUUUGACUUCCGAAUAUGAUGCACUGUUUUUACUUCGGCCAAUGAUUCAGCGCUUACUAAUUGUAGUUCCUCGUGUAAUCAGAUCAAUCAUUAAUCAAUGGACGCGAUCAGGGACGUCUCCAGAUAUUUAGGGCCCCGGACAAAAAUCAAAAUAGCCUCUACUGGAUCAGCACCAUGUGCAUCAUCGAUAUUAGCAUCUGGAAUUUGGCUUUUAGAAUUGGUUUGAGAAUUUUUUUUUUUUACGACAAAUUUAUCAAGAACAGCCUUUUUGGGAUCGAG
rnacentral:lncRNA from 1 species